rnacentral:rRNA from 1 species
UACGUAGGUGGCAAGCGUUGUCCGGAUUUAUUGGGCGUAAAGCGAGCGCAGGCGGUUCCUUAAGUCUGAUGUGAAAGCCCACGGCUCAACCGUGGAAGGUCACUGGAAACUGGGGAACUUGAGUGCAGAAGAGGAGAGUGGAAUUCCAUGUGUAGCGGUGAAAUGCGUAGAUAUAUGGAGGAACACCAGUGGCGAAGGCGACUCUCUGGUCUGUAACUGACGCUGAGGCUCGAAAGCGUGGGGAGCAAACAGGAUUAGA